UACGUAGGGGCCGAGCGUUGUCCGGAGUUAUUGGGCGUAAAGCGCGCGCAGGCGGCUUCGCGCGCCCGACGUGAAAGCCCCCGGCUUAACCGGGGAGAGUCGUUGGGGACGGCGGAGCUUGAGGGCGGGAGAGGUCGGUGGAAUUCCCGGUGUGAGUGGUGAAAUGCGUAGAGAUCGGGAGGAACACCUGUGGCGAAGGCG
rnacentral:rRNA from 1 species